AUGAGGUUAUUGUGAAUGGGAUGGGAAGUUGAGAUCCACAGAAAAGUCAAACUCCAAAGUAAGAGAUUUCCAAGGUAAAUGUCGAUGUUCCUUCCUGAAAUGAGAGCUGCAACAUUUAACUUAUAGAUUUUUUUUUUUUAGUAAACCAGACAACAUGAACCACUCCAUGGCUUUUGCUCAGUGUAAAGUCCCAUGACACGGCCCAUGGAACCACAUCAGAGUCUUUCUACUAUUUAACCCUGUUGGAGUCAUUUCUUCGGACUGUUGUAAGUGUAAAUAAAUCAUCCAUUUUCAGCCUGACCUUUAGGACGUCUCUCGGCUUCUUGACCACUCCGGCAUUUCUCCCACUGUUCCAGGUGAGCCAUCAACACAGGGCCCAAGACACCCCUCCUAUUAUCCCCUCAAAUAGCCCCAUGCUGUCUUGAAAAAGAUGACCAUUGCCAUUUCUUUAUAGAGGUAACACCAGCACCCCC
rnacentral:lncRNA from 1 species